GUGAUUCUCCAGAGGCCUCUUUCGGAAUGUGAUUGCUCACCUAAACACAUAAUGAAAAUCACUAAGCAAUUUUUUUAAAAAGCUAGCGUGUUUCAGCGACGAUGCUGCGGUGGCUCUGGUGUUGAUCCACCAGGAUUGCAGAUUGGGCUCGUUUGUGAGUUUGGCUUUGCAAUGGCGACGUGCCAACGUUGAUUUCUUGGAUGUAGGAGUGAGGUUUGACUGAUGGCAAGAUGAUGAAUCUUUUCUUUUGAUCCUAUUAGUCGUCUGAUCCUGUUAGUCGUCAAAUGGAAAAAUCCUUUUGAUUUUUUUUUAAGUGAAUGACGAGUGCAUAAAAGGCCUGGGCUUGGGGUUCUAUCGGUGGUGACCGAUCGGAAUGUUUAAGAGUGAAUGGACCAUGGUGUGUAUAGAAUUGCACUUGGGAACGGGUUUAUUCAUUCUUCAUUCUCAUUUCUUGUAAACAGGAAGAAAGACACUUCUCAUCUUUAUUUAUUCUUCUUUCCGUGUAAGAUUAAUCCAUCAUCUGUUCUUGUGCGUUUUGUUUACACCGAUCGGAUUGUGGUGGUGCCAUCUCAAAAGGGAAACGAAAUAUUUAUAUGUAGAGCAGCAUUUGAAUAGAAAGAAUAAGAGAUGAAGAAAAUGUUGGGGAACGCAGGAAAGAAGAAGAACUAGAGCCGCAGAUAUGGACGCGGACACGCGCUCCGCUACGGCCAAGCCGACCCAGAACGAAUGGAUUGGAUUGUUCAACUGAUUAGAGAGUCGAUUUUUAUCUUAACUGGAACUGACAGCCACCCAUUUCUUUACGAUGGUUAGAACAGCAGGAGGGGAAGAAAAAAAAAUUCCAUUUCAUUUUUUUCUUUUCUUUUUCUUUUUCAGAAAACCAAAUAAAGCAAAACAAAUACUCUUGUAUAAUCCUUUGAAGGGAACGCGCAGUGCUCGGCAGCAGUGACGGUUGAAUUUGUGGUGGCUGCUGCUGGUGUGGCGUCAUCUGGACAGGUCAGCAUAUAGUCUCUCGGUUGGUUUGUUUGUUCCGUCUGAAUAGAAAAGUCAGGCAAGUGUCGGAGCACAUAGAAAAGCAAAUCAAAUGAAGUGCAGCAUGACGAGAAAAAGGAUGCGCUUCCACAAAAAUAUAGAAGAGUCGAAUAGUUUUUAUUUUUUUCUGCCGAGGACCCAACAGCAGCAGCAGCAGCACUGGAAAAUGACUUGCAGUUGCUUUUUAGACAUCGACGAUAGAUUUUUGGAAAGAAAACAAAAACGGCGCAAUUUCUCUCUCUCUCUGGAGCACAAAAUCAGAGACGGGAAGAUAAAGAGAAAAAACCUAAUUUGCAUUUGUACGAUUUCACGUCCAUGACCGAUGCAUUUAGAGGUUUCGACCAUGUACAGGUAUCGUUUGGGUUUCCGUUCACAGCCGCCGACCCGAUGCCAUCGAGUCUUUGAUCAACAGGUUAGAGCUUCUUUUGUAGAUGCCGGACAAAUGUUCGGCGUAACUCUUUUAAAGAACUUCUUCUUCUUCGACUGUCGUUGCUUUGCACAAUCUCUAAAUGGACAUACAACAACAACAACAGCAUUCUUAGAAAAAGAAGGAUCGAGGAACGCCUCCAUUUCAUUUCGAACCGAAAUUCGGUUGCAAUCGUGACGCCAGACAACAAUUCGUACAAAACAAAGAAAAGGACAAACAAAAAGUGAAAAGAAAUACGAGGCAUAGCCAACAAAUUACAGAAGCAGAACAUACUGGAAGAAGAAUUCCGUUACGGGUUCAGCUGUUUUCUCUCAUCAUCUGUUUUCUUUUUUUGCCAAUCACACUUCUUGCCAAGUUUGCCAAACGCAACCCCAGUCGUCGCCACCGUGGUCCCCCCCAGCGGGGCUGGGGGUCAAAAAGUUGAGAAACGAUCAAAUGUCUGCGGGUUCAUCAGCUGUUUCAGCGCAGCAGUUUAUGUUUUCUUCUUAUUCAUUCUGCCCACCGAAAAGAAAACAGAAUAAGACGCCGUUGUUCAUUUUCCUUUUCUUUUUUUCCCCGUAAGAGUUUGCACCAUCCGUCAUUUUAUGUGACACCGUCAAAAAAUAACCAAAGUCGUCGACAAGGUCUUACAUUGUAUCUCCUUUGUAUGAUAAUCAUCCACAGUGGUGUAUAUUCGUAGAAAAACAAGAGAGAACCCGUUGCACUGCAGAUCUAUGCGCAGACUGUUACACAAAAAAAGGGAAAAAAGAAACGUCCAAAAACAGAGCCAUGGAAAAUAUAAAAGAGCGCAGAGGUGUAUAGAGAGACUCCUGAAGGACUUGUCAUUCUCUUAACGACAGAGAGAGAGAGAGAGUCAAAACUCAGAAAAGUGUAAAUAUACAUAUGGGACAGCGGCUGUGUAGAAGCGAGACAGGAGGACUCCAGGUAGCCUAUAAGUCCAGACUUCUACUCUUUUAGGAGAUAAGGUGGUGGAGAGUGACAGAAGCGAAGAUAGGAGAGCGCGUAUGGCAGUUUUCCAUCGUGACGCAAGUCCCCGAUAGAGAGGGAAUAUAAGGCAGGCGAGCGAUGUUAUAAAGAGACGAGAAGAGAGAAAGAAGAAAAAAGAUGCAGGAGAUAAACAAACUGAAAGGCAGCGAGAAAGAAAACGACAAGAAACAGACGCCAUCCGACGAGUUUCCUGUCGUUUCUCUCAUCAGAUUUUUCUGUGUUGGUCUCCUCACCGACCUGUAUCAGGUGCUCAGAUGAGAUCUUCCACUCUUGAUUUUGUCCGAUUCUUGACAAAGAAUCUGUCGGACGACAUGACGGACGGAAGCGGACUCAAUUUCGUUUGUCCAGCGAAUGGCGAAAACGCGCCAGCACAAAUAGCAACAGGCGCAGGAAGAAGAGAGGGGAGACUCCAAGGGGGGAAAAAAUAGCUCCUCCAGUUCCAUCUCUGGAAAUCUGACUCUUUUAUCUUUCCUUUUUCCUUCUUUUUUUUCUUUUUCGCUCGCUUUUUCUUUUAUUUUCUGCAACCACAUGCCUGUUACUUAUUUUCGGCUUAACAUCGAGUUUCGUGGGGUCUUGUGCGACACCAACUGCGUUCUCUUCCAUUCGUUUUUAGCGUAAGGACAAAUUCCUUGUUUACUGUAUAAUAAUCCACGAGUUAUGUCUGAAUUCAUCGACACAUAUGACUCGGCAGCGACUCGGUUUUGGCCGUCCUCGAAAUCCUCGAGAAGACUAGGGGUUGAAAAAAAAAGUUUUACUUGUCAACGACUGCUGAAGGGGAUGACUGCUGUUAUUCUUAUAGUGUCCCGCGUUUGAAUAGCGCGCUUACAACGAGCACUAGAAAGUUAUGGCUACAUGUUUCCUUGUGUAUGAGCGACAAACAGCGGCGCGUGCGGCGUCAUCGUCCGUCGUUUCCCGCAGUCAUCCUCUUCGUAACCUUUCAAACAAAAAACACUUGACAACAAACCAACAGCAAGUACAGAAACCAGUUUGAAGUUUGUUUGACAAUUGUUUUUUUUUUUUUUUUUUUUUUUUACUGGAAAAAUCCAACUUAAUCCUGUACUACAAGGACAACAUACGUACGCGGGUAAAUUGCGAGAUGUGAAAUUAGAUUUAGGCUUACACCGAUAGAUGGUAGAGAUAAAUAUUUAGUUCCCGUGUCAGAAGCCAUCUGUUAUGUGUUGCUAGAUCUGGCGAGCGACCCCACAUCUUGUGAAAACGAAAUCUAAAACCGCGAUAAGAAGAAAGAUGACAACAGGUUCGGUGAAUAGCCAUGGCAACCAAAGGGUUAUCUUUCUCUCUAUUCUCUCUAUUCUCUCUUUUCGACUAUGUAUAUACAUGUACAUAAUACUGAUGGUUUUGAAGUCGACCAGAUCGUUCGUCUUAAUCUUUUCUACUGACACUUGCAACUGUCAUUUCUGUGUGAACCCUUGAUCGUUCCUUGUCACUCGAGGAUUCCUUUGCUAUGACAGAUUUCACGAAAACAAUAACAAGAGAAUGGAUAGGUACGUAUCGAACUAGACGCUCACUACGUCUAUCAAUAUAGUGAAUCAUUUGCAUAUGUCGGUUUUCCGAGUGUUAAUCAGUGUCGACUAGUGUAGCAAUCGAAACGAACGGCUCCAACGAGGACCGGUUACUAUCCUUAUCUGUCGAUGAAGAAGACGGUCGAAAAGAGACGGCCCAGUUGAUCAGAAAGGUGUACUGCUUGCUGUCGUUGCGUAUCUUGUGCUUGACGGUGAUAGAGUGCUUCGCCAUCUACGACGAAUCAAUCAGUUCCUUCUUUUCGGGAUCCGGCGGCGGAGUUGUCAUCUUCAUGAUCUGGUUAAUUCAGUUCAUUCUAUCGGGUUACACAUCGCUAUCGGACCGUUUGGGACCGGACAAGCCGUCCAAUCAGAAACGAUUCAUCGCCUUAAACGUCAUGGAAGGUCUGGUUUGUGCCGGAGCCGCUUCCAAUCUUUACCACUCAAACAGCAUUCAGCUCGUCGAUGUUUUGCUGCUGAAUGGUUCGUUGGGAAUCUUCCACUCGGGUCACGCGCUCUUCUUCAUGAAUCCCUGGUUGCUCUACCACGGACUUUACGGCGUCGUUUACGCUGCGCUGAGCGUCGGUAUUCCAAUUUUGUUGGCGUUCAAUUUGAACUCGUCAUACGCAGCUUCCGGUAGCGAUCUGUCAGUCGAAGAUGAUCCAUCGGCCAGGAGCACCGAUUGGAAGUCUAUUUCGUGGGUUGAAAUCGCUUGCCUCGGUUGGCUGUGCUGUUUGUGGUAUUCGCUAGAGACGCACGCCGUCGUCACCAAGAGGCAUCGCUUCCGCUUUGAGCGACACCAGGACUGUUUUUUCGUCAUGUUGUGUUUCGCUUACGCCGAUGUUUGGAAUGUUUUCGCCAAGUUCAGGUUAUUCUUCGUGACGAAAUCGAGUGAAACGGAGGCCCAGACGGACCAAGAAGAGUAGCGAGCGACACCCCGCCGUGCGGACGCUGAACGGCAACUUGCUGGCUGACUUGCGACUCUUUUCAUCCGCGUCGCUUUGUCUUCCCGUCUGGAUUCUUCAAAUGGUUUCUUUGCCCUUACGACGCUGUGUACUAAUAAUGCACGCUCUCACUAAAAACACACCGGAAGGAACUCGCACGUGAUCCAGGAUCGGAAAUCGAUCAACCAGCAGUCGGAACUCGUGCCGUUUCCCAUUUCCCGACAAUUCGAAAUAUGCCCAGUCUUAGCACCGAGCAUUCCAGGACCCCGGAGCCAUUAAUCAAGGCGUUCUUUUCUAUUUUAGCUCAUUAUCUCUGACUAUACAAGUAUAGAUGUAUUCUCUUCUAGUUGGAUAAGGUUUAUGUUGGCUUACUAACAAUCUAUAGGGAUUCCAGGGCUUUUUGCCUAAUAAUGUCGAACAGCAUCGAUCCGAUACUGAAAUCGAGUUUUACCUUCAUGCCAAAUGCAUUUGUGAGCAUCGUGAGUUUACUUUGGGUUUUUCUUUAUCAUCCAUCUCUUGGGUCGAUUAAAAUUAGUAAAGUGCGAUUUAAAAACAGAUUUUUCUUGAGAUUUAUGUAAUUUUUCCGCGUGAAAAUUCGGGAGUGAACUUUAGAUGCGCUCUCUAGUUCUCAAGCUUUUGUGAGUAGUGAACGAAUGCUCCAUCUAGCGAGGGAAUUUAUGUUUGCUUGGUCGAUGGUUUCGGUUCAACAACUGAAAUGCGGGAAAAUCCACCUAGCAUAGCAUGUAAAGUAACAAACCAAAAAUAUUUCGUGUACCGUUUCGUUUUGAUUUUUGUUUGCAAUUGUAAAGAGUAGUUCACUGUUCAACGGUUAGUGAUAGACGCAAGAAUAGUGAAGAGGCUGAUUGUUAAGUGUGGCAGUCAUUGUUGGCAAAAAAACCCUGCGGAAACAAAACAUAAGAAAUCGACCAUUUUCUAAAAUCUGACAUUCUCGUUACGAACGAAACCAUUUGAAAUUUACACUGUUCAGACCACCGGAAGUUUCUGAACUUCCAAGACGAGGGAAUGGCUAUUUAAGGAACACUAAUAUUGGCUAUUUGCGUAAAAGUUGAGUGUCUGUUCAAAUCUGUGUUGUAAUCGUCGGUUUUACAACUAAGGGAAAUGUGAAUAGCGAUUAGUGUUUUACACCUUUGGUAUUGCCGCGUUAUUCAUUUAUAAAUAAUUCUCGCGGUCCGCUGGUUAUAUAAGCUGAAGGAAACGCCAGUACGCGCACUUCUUUGCACGACAGUUCUUGACCUGACGGAUACUGGAACUCAGAUAACAGGCAUGAUGGUGAAUAAGAUGUUACUGUCGAUAAAUUAUCUAUCGACUUUCAUGUUGGUUAUCUUGAUUUUGAGCAGCUCUGUUGCAUCACAUCCUGCAAUAUCUGAAACUCCAUCUGAUAAAACGGAAAAUAACAAUUCGGACAAGGAGACUUCCCCUGAAGCACCUGUAUCCAACAGAGCAUACACUUCUUCGACAAAUUCCAACAACUUGGUCAACAGUUGGAGGAACCUACUGCCGAGUCAUUUUGGGGAAUUCUUCGAGGUCUUCGUCUUUUUCAUGGAACUGAAAUGGCACUACGAAAUUGAAGAGGCCAUAGCGGCAGUCGGAUCAAGGAUCAAUGACGAUCAUUAUCCCAAAGAGAUCGAUGCUACCAAGUCAAUCAGUGUUGAAGCUGAAGAUGUCGAUGACAAAGUUAUUGAACAUUUUCUCGAUCGAACAAAUUAUCUGAAAUAUUAUUUGAACGCCAUGGCACCAGUAUAUUACGGCUACCGUAGGAAGUCUGAAAUAUCGCGAUCGUAAAAUCUCGUUUUCCAUCCUACGCCAAAAUACUUACAGUUUUGCACAUGAAUUUUAAUUUAUUUCAUGCUAUUAAUUGUGGUUGGCUUGCGUUAUUCUUGAUGCUACUGACAAUUAUUGUAAUUUCAAAUAUAUGGGAGAAUAAGAAUAUACAUAUGGAAACUGGG